UGAAGAACAUGAUGAAAGAAACGAUUGUGACAGUGAUGAGAUUCAUCAUUCUGUGAUCAAGAAAGUUUCUGAACUAAUUGCUACGUUCUUUCUGAUUCUUUC